rnacentral:piRNA from 1 species
UGCUGAAGUAGAGCUGGGUGACACGCCACU